CCCAGACUCCUACGGGAGGCAGCAGUGGGGGAUAUUGCACAAUGGGGGGAACCCUGAUGCAGCGACGCCGCGUGGGUGAAGGAGCGUUUCGGCGCGUAAAGCCCUAUCGGCAGGGAAGAAGGAGGACGGUACCUGACUAAGAAGCCCCGGCUAACUACGUGCCAGCAGCCGCGGUAAUACGUAGGGGGCAAGCGUUAUCCGGAUUUACUGUGUGUAAAGGGGGCGCAGACGGCAGCGCAAGCCAGGAGUGAAAGCCCGGGGCCCAACCCCGGGACUGCUCUUGGAACUGCGCGGCUGGAGUGCAGGAGGGGCAGGCGGAAUUCCUGGUGUAGCGGUGAAAUGCGUAGAUAUCAGGAGGAACACCGGUGGCGAAGGCGGCCUGCUGGACUGCGACUGACGUUGAGGCCCGAAAGCGUGGGGAGCAAACAGGAUUAGAUACCCGAGUA
rnacentral:rRNA from 1 species